GGGGGCUCUAUGCCGUUGCCGUUAAUGCAUAUUCACUGCGUCUGUCGGCGUCAGCAUCUGCGUCUGGAGCUGUCUGUCUGCGUCAGUCCCUGCGUGCUUUGCCACGGCACGCCUCUGCUUCUUCUCCUUCUUCAUGGCCAUCAUUCUCUCCCUCCCACUGCGAAGGAAAGUAACCAAAGGGAGAGAAAAUAGUGAUACAGAACAGUCCAACAAUGCCGAAUUCAUGAAUGAAAAUCAAAAGACGAAGAACAAGGAUGAAACGUGUAAUGCCUCAACAGGUUCAACGCCAAUCCGUGUGUGCCCUCACCAGUUCCCCAUCAGUUAAAGUCACUCUCCAACAUCGAUCCGCUUUUACUCUGAGGAGGCUCACUGUGUGUUUCUGUUACAAAGCUCUGGCAACUCUGCCCCGGAUUCAGGCUGUGAAAGAGACAGAAUGGGACGGGGAGGGAACGGGCAGGGAGAAAGGAACGGGGGGAAUGGUGGUCUCGUGCCUCUGGAAAUAUGCAUGUUGUUGUAGACAGGCCGGCAGGCAUGCAGGCGGACAGGCAGAGGGAGAGCGAGCGAGAGAGAGAUAGAGAGAGCAGGGAAAGUAGGUAAGUUAAGAAGAGGAGGUGGGGGGCUAUGAGGGGAAGCAUGAUUGUGUUUUUAUUUUUGUGGGUUUCUCUGGCUCUGUCAAAAGCUUCUCACUCGCUGUGCAGAGGAGGGUUUCUGCCAGCUAUGGAUCGUCUUCAAAUCCUGGUUUCAGCCGCUCAGCCGUUCAGCCUUUAGGCCCGGAAGAGAUCCAACCGGCAGUUCAAGGGCGAUCGCCCAGAGUUUCAGAGCAGCUCAGCCCCUGUAAGUGCCAACGCUGAAACUCUAUCCAUGUACUCCCCUCACUUCUUCUGCCCCCUCCUUUUGGAAUUUUGCUGCCAGGAUUCAAGCUGGUUUCAGAAAUCGCACAGGGUUCUUCUUCUU